rnacentral:rRNA from 1 species
GUGAUGGAUGGGGAUGCGUCUGAUUAGCUUGUUGGCGGGGUAACGGCCCACCAAGGCGACGAUCAGUAGGGGUUCUGAGAGGAAGGUCCCCCACAUUGGAACUGAGACACGGUCCAAACUCCUACGGGAGGCAGCAGUGAGGAAUAUUGGUCAAUGGGCGGAAGCCUGAACCAGCCAAGUAGCGUGAAGGACGACUGCCUAUGGGUUGUAAACUUCUUUUAUGCGGGGAUAGGUACCGCAUGAAUAAGGACCGGCUAAUUCCGUGCCAGCAGCCGCGGUAAUACGGAAGGUCCAGGCGUUAUCCGGAUUCAUUGGGUUUAAAGGGAGCGUAGGCCGCCUUUUAAGCGUGUUGUGAAAUGUAGGGGCUCAACCCCUGCACUGCAGCGCGAACUGGAGGGCUUGAGUACACACAAAGUAGGCGGAAUUCAUGGUGUAGCGGUGAAAUGCUUAGAUAUCAUGAGGAACCCCGAUUGCGAAGGCAGCUUACUGGAGUGUAACUGACGCUGAAGCUCGAAAGCGCGGGUAUCGAACAGGAUUAGAUACCCUGGUAGUCCGCGCGGUAAACGAUGGAUGCCCGCUUUUGCAGCGGCCAAGCGAAAGCGUUAAGCAUCCCACCUGGGGAGUACGCC